AGAGUUUGAUCAUGGCUCAGAUUGAACGCUGGCGGCAGGCCUAACACAUGCAAGUCGAGCGGUAGCACAAGAGAGCUUGCUCUCUGGGUGACGAGCGGCGGACGGGUGAGUAAUGUCUGGGAAACUGCCUGAUGGAGGGGGAUAACUACUGGAAACGGUAGCUAAUACCGCAUAACGUCUUCGGACCAAAGUGGGGGACCUUCGGGCCUCACGCCAUCAGAUGUGCCCAGAUGGGAUUAGCUAGUAGGUGGGGUAAUGGCUCACCUAGGCGACGAUCCCUAGCUGGUCUGAGAGGAUGACCAGCCACACUGGAACUGAGACACGGUCCAGACUCCUACGGGAGGCAGCAGUGGGGAAUAUUGCACAAUGGGCGCAAGCCUGAUGCAGCCAUGCCGCGUGUGUGAAGAAGGCCUUCGGGUUGUAAAGCACUUUCAGCGAGGAGGAAGGGUAGUGUGUUAAUAGCACAUUGCAUUGACGUUACUCGCAGAAGAAGCACCGGCUAACUCCGUGCCAGCAGCCGCGGUAAUACGGAGGGUGCAAGCGUUAAUCGGAAUUACUGGGCGUAAAGCGCACGCAGGCGGUUUGUUAAGUCAGAUGUGAAAUCCCCGCGCUUAACGUGGGAACUGCAUUUGAAACUGGCAAGCUAGAGUCUUGUAGAGGGGGGUAGAAUUCCAGGUGUAGCGGUGAAAUGCGUAGAGAUCUGGAGGAAUACCGGUGGCGAAGGCGGCCCCCUGGACAAAGACUGACGCUCAGGUGCGAAAGUGUGGGGAGCAAACAGGAUUAGAUACCCCGGUAGU
rnacentral:rRNA from 1 species